AUUAUUUUGGCAGAUUAGUGUGAUAGAUUUAGAAUCUUUUUAUGUAAAAAUAUUUUACAAAUAAUA
rnacentral:tRNA from 1 species